UGGGGAAUAUUGCACAAUGGGCGCAAGCCUGAUGCAGCCAUGCCGCGUGUGUGAAGAAGGCCUUCGGGUUGUAAAGCACUUUCAGCGAGGAGGAAGGUGGUGAACUUAAUACGUUCAUCAAUUGACGUUACUCGCGGAAGAAGCACCGGCUAACUCCGUGCCAGCAGCCGCGGUAAUACGGAGGGUGCAAGCGUUAAUCGGAAUUACUGGGCGUAAAGCGCACGCAGGCGGUUUGUUAAGUCAGAUGUGAAAUCCCCGGGCUCAACCUGGGAACUGCAUUUGAAACUGGCAAGCUAGAGUCUCGUAGAGGGGGGCUAGAAUUCCAGGUGUAGCGGUGAAAUGCGUAGAGAUCUGGAGGAAUACCGGUGGCGAAGGCGGCCCCCCUGGANGAAGACUGACGCUCAGGUGCGAAAA
rnacentral:rRNA from 1 species